rnacentral:rRNA from 1 species
UGCAAGUCGAACGAACUCUGGUAUUGAUUGGUGCUUGCAUCAUGAUUUUACAUUUGAGUGAGUGGCGAACUGGUGAGUAACACGUGGGAAACCUGCCCAGAAGCGGGGGAUAACACCUGGAAACAGAUGCUAAUACCGCAUAACAACUUGGACCGCAUGGUCCGAGCUUGAAAGAUGGCUUCGGCUAUCACUUUUGGAUGGUCCCGCGGCGUAUUAGCUAGAUGGUGGGGUAACGGCUCACCAUGGCAAUGAUACGUAGCCGACCUGAGAGGGUAAUCGGCCACAUUGGGACUGAGACACGGCCCAAACUCCUACGGGAGGCAGCAGUAGGGAAUCUUCCACAAUGGACGAAAGUCUGAUGGAGCAACGCCGCGUGAGUGAAGAAGGGUUUCGGCUCGUAAAACUCUGUUGUUAAAGAAGAACAUAUCUGAGAGUAACUGUUCAGGUAUUGACGGUAUUUAACCAGAAAGCCACGGCUAACUACGUGCCAGCAGCCGCGGUAAUACGUAGGUGGCAAGCGUUGUCCGGAUUUAUUGGGCGUAAAGCGAGCGCAGGCGGUUUUUUAAGUCUGAUGUGAAAGCCUUCGGCUCAACCGAAGAAGUGCAUCGGAAACUGGGAAACUUGAGUGCAGAAGAGGACAGUGGAACUCCAUGUGUAGCGGUGAAAUGCGUAGAUAUAUGGAAGAACACCAGUGGCGAAGGCGGCUGUCUGGUCUGUAACUGACGCUGAGGCUCGAAAGUAUGGGUAGCAAACAGGAUUAGAUACCCUGGUAGUCCAUACCGUAAACGAUGAAUGCUAAGUGUUGGAGGGUUUCCGCCCUUCAGUGCUGCAGCUAACGCAUUAAGCAUUCCGCCUGGGGAGUACGGCCGCAAGGCUGAAACUCAAAGGAAUUGACGGGGGCCCGCACAAGCGGUGGAGCAUGUGGUUUAAUUCGAAGCUACGCGAAGAACCUUACCAGGUCUUGACAUACUAUGCAAAUCUAAGAGAUUAGACGUUCCCUUCGGGGACAUGGAUACAGGUGGUGCAUGGUUGUCGUCAGCUCGUGUCGUGAGAUGUUGGGUUAAGUCCCGCAACGAGCGCAACCCUUAUUAUCAGUUGCCAGCAUUAAGUUGGGCACUCUGGUGAGACUGCCGGUGACAAACCGGAGGAAGGUGGGGAUGACGUCAAAUCAUCAUGCCCCUUAUGACCUGGGCUACACACGUGCUACAAUGGAUGGUACAACGAGUUGCGAACUCGCGAGAGUAAGCUAAUCUCUUAAAGCCAUUCUCAGUUCGGAUUGUAGGCUGCAACUCGCCUACAUGAAGUCGGAAUCGCUAGUAAUCGCGGAUCAGCAUGCCGCGGUGAAUACGUUCCCGGGCCUUGUACACACCGCCCGUCACACCAUGAGAGUUUGUAACACCCAAAGUCGGUGGGGUAACCUUUUAGGAACC